GGAGAGGUUCCCGCAGCGGCCUAACGGGGAACGUUUUUUCAAACGCUCGGGCUCCGGCCCACGCAGGUUCGAAUCCUGCCCUCUCCG
rnacentral:tRNA from 1 species